ensembl:lncRNA
CAGGCAGCAAUGUAGUGGUCUGCCAACCCACAUCUCUCUCAUCAUAUAGCAGGCAGCAAUGUAGUGGUCUGCCAACCCACAUCUCCCUCAUCAUAUAGCAGGCAGCAAUGUAGUGGUCUGCCAACCCACAGCUCUCUCAUCUCUCUCAUCAUAUAGCAGGCAGCAAUGUAGUGGUCUGCCAACCCACAGCUCUCUCAUCAUAUAGCAGGCAGCAAUGUAGUGGUCUGCCAACCCACAUCUCUCUCAUCUCUCUCAUCAUAUAGCAGGCAGCAAUGUAGUGGUCUGCCAACCCACAUCUCCCUCAUCAUAUAGCAGGCAGCAAUGUAGUGGUCUGCCAACCCACAUCUCUCUCAUCAUAUAGCAGGCAGCAAUGUAGUGGUCUGCCAACCCACAUCUCUCUCAUCAUAUAGCAGGCAGCAAUGUAGUGGUCUGCCAACCCACAGCUCUCUCAUCAUAUAGCAGGCAGCAAUGUAGUGGUCUGCCAACCCACAGCUCUCUCAUCUCUCUCAUCAUAUAGCAGGCAGCAAUGUAGUGGUCUGCCAACCCACAUCUCUCUCAUCUCUCUCAUCAUAUAGCAGGCAGCAAUGUAGUGGUCUGCCAACCCACAUCUCUCUCAUCUCUCUCAUCAUAUAGCAGGCAGCAAUGUAGUGGUCUGCCAACCCACAUCUCUCUCAUCAUAUAGCAGGCAGCAAUGUAGUGGUCUGCCAACCCACAUCUCUCUCAUCUCCCUCAUCAUAUAGCAGGCAGCAAUGUAGUGGUCUGCCAACCCCCAGCUCUCUCAUCUCCCUCAUCAUAUAGCAGGCAGCAAUGUAGUGGUCUGCCAACCCACAUCUCUCUCAUCAUAUAGCAGGCAGCAAUGUAGUGGUCUGCCAACCCACAGCUCUCUCAUCUCCCUCAUCAUAUAGCAGGCAGCAAUGUAGUGGUCUGCCAACCCACAGCUCUCUCAUCAUAUAGCAGGCAGCAAUGUAGUGGUCUGCCAACCCACAUCUCUCUCAUCAUAUAGCAGGCAGCAAUGUAGUGGUCUGCCAACCCAUCUCUCAUCUCUCUCAUCAUAUAGCAGGCAGCAAUGUAGUGGUCUGCCAACCCACAUCUCUCAUCAUAUAGCAGGCAGCAAUGUAGUGGUCUGCCAACCCACAGCUCUCUCAUCAUAUAGCAG